GCCGUUUUCGCUCAAUGGCAGAGCUGCUGAUUUGUAACCAGCGGACGCGGGUUCGAUUCCUGCAAGCGGCACCA
rnacentral:tRNA from 1 species